rnacentral:rRNA from 1 species
CCUACGGGAGGCAGCAGUGAGGAAUAUUGGUCAAUGGGCGCGAGCCUGAACCAGCCAAGUAGCGUGAAGGAUGACUGCCCUACGGGUUGUAAACUUCUUUUAUAAAGAAAUACAGUGAGGCACGUGUGCCUUUUUGUAUGGAAUUUAUUAAUAAGGAUCGGCUAACUCCGUGCCAGCAGACGCGGUAAUACGGAGGAUCCGAGCGUUAUCCGGCUUUAUUUGGUUGAAAGGGAGCGUAUAUGGGUUGUUAAGUCAGUUGUGAAAGUUUGCGGCUCAACCGUAAAAGUGCAAUUGAUACUGGCAGUCUUGAGUACAGUUGAGGUAGGCGGAAUUCGUGGUGUAGCGGUGAAAUGCUUAGAUAUCACGAAGAACUCCGAUUGCGAAGGCAGCUUACUAAACUGCCACUGACAUUGAUGCUCGAAAGUGUGGGUAUCAAACAGGAUUAGAUACCCCUGUAGUC